CACCCUCUCAUGUCCGGCCAUAUCUCUCAUUUGUUCCUUUUUCUUUUCUUUUCACUUAAACACACUCCUCUCUACUCUUAUAUCCUCUCUCACCGGUACUUCCACACCACCACCACCAUUUUCACCAUCAUUUUUCCAACAAGACCACCGGAAAAAUCCUUAGGAACCCCUAAGCAUCAUCAUCCCUUUAUUUGAGGUUCUAGCUAAUCUCCUUGGAGCUUGGAGAAUUAGGCUUUUGCAGUUGCGAGUUUUCGUAGUCUUUGUGACAACGGAAUCAGAUCCAAGUCAGUGCUCUUUCAUUUUGGAUGAUGCGUUCUUCCCUACUGCCCAUGGGGGGAAGAGGUUCCUUGAUUGUGUGUGGAUGAGGCCACUGUCCAUAGGGCCAAAAGACCACAUGCAAGAGAGGUCCUAUUUGACGCGCUCUCUGCUGCCCAUGGGGGAAGAGAAAAACCUUGAGGGUAUGGG